UUUGUUUUUUCUAGGUUUCAUGUUUUUUACAUUUUUUUGUUUCCUCACGUAAUGCACAUCCUGUAAAAAAAAGUUGUGCUUCCCACAAUUGUGCUCUUCGAAAUGUGAAAAGUACAUCUAUACUUUUGCGAAAAGCACAAAGUGAAAGGGAAACAUUUACAUCCGGACGACCGGCCGAACACUCCGCCGGCCUCGCGCGCUCCGUUGGAUGCAUGUGCGAUCCAGCGCGCCUGCUUGUGCCACGUGAAUUUUUGUGGCCCCCGCAAACCGCUUUUUAUUUUCUCCCGGUCUCUCUUAUCUUCUUCACGAAUCCGCUCCUCCACUCGUUCCCAUCGAUCCUCUUCCUUCCUUUUUCUCUCGCCAUUACCCAGUGACCAAGCUUCCCUCGUUUCUCUCCUAUCGAGUGCCUCCACCCUCCCAGCCACGGGACUGAUGCUAUGAUGGUCGCCUCUUCGCCGGGGCUGACGGAGGUGUGUGCCCUCGUGGAAACGGCGGCAUCAGAUGCGGUGCUUGAACCAGCCAUCGCGGGAUGCUGGAACCAGCUACCAUCGAUGCUGGAACCAGUCACCGUUGGUGCUGGAACCACCAAGGGGAGGAGCUGCAACCAGACAGCCCCGUGCUGGAACCGGCGACGGCGGCAGCGGCCACCAACGGCGACGACGGCCGUGCUUUUGCUCCAACCAGCGAGAACGACAGCUACCUCUGGCAAUGACAAGGCCUUUUUUUUGCUGCAACCAGCAACUGCGGCAGCUACCACCGGCGACCGACGGAUGUUUCUGCGCGCGGCGACGAGGAAGAUAGUACCAGCAGCGGGCCGAGCCGUCAAUCUAAGAAGGGGAUGGCGUUCACGACGGCGCCAGACUUCACGACCACGGCGACGACCACUUGUGCGGCGAAGGGAAGUGCAUAUAGCCAGCGGUUGACUUUUUCAGAGUUACUCCCUCCGUUCCCAAAUAUUUGUCUUUCUAGGUAUUUCAACAAAUGACUACAUAUGAAGCAAAAUGAGUGAAUCUACACUCUAAAAUAUGUCUACAUACAUCCGUAUGUUGUGUCCAUUUGAAAUGCCUAGAAAGACAAAAGACAAAUAUUUGGAAACGGAGGGAGUAGAAGGCAAGGAGAGAGACGCACGAGAGGGAGCAAAUCAGACGGCGCUAAUCACGUUUAUCGGAUGGCUAGCGCUCGACCGGCCCAAACUUAGGCCGGUGCGCCGGCGCCUAGCACUCGCCAAAGUGAAAAGGCAUAGUCGUGUUUUCGCGUGAAGCACAGUUGUGCUUCCACGAAAAGGGAAAAAGAUAGAUGUGCUUAACAAAAAAAGUUGAAAA